CCUACGGGAGGCAGCAGUGAGGAAUAUUGGUCAAUGGGCGGAAGCCUGAACCAGCCAAGUCGCGUGAGGGAAUAAGGCCCUACGGGUCGUAAACCUCUUUUGCCGGGGAGCAAGGGCGGGGACGUGUCCCGGCCCGGAGAGUACCCGGAGAAAAAGCACCGGCGAACUCCGUGCCAGCAGCCGAGGUAAUACGGAGGAUGCGAGCGUUAUCCGGAUUGAUUGGGUUUAAGGGGUGCGUAGGCGGGCUUUUAAGUCAGCGGUAAAAAUUCGGGGCUCAACCCCGGCCGGCCGUUGAAACUGGGGGCCUUGAGUGGGCGAGAGGAAGGCGGAAUGCGUGGUGUAGCGGUGAAAUGCAUAGAUAUCACGCAGAACCCCGAUUGCGAAGGCAGCAUACCGGUGCACAACUGACGCUGAGGCACGAAAGCGUGGGUAUCGAACAGGAUUAGAUACCCUAGUAGUC
rnacentral:rRNA from 1 species